UGGGGAAUAUUGGACAAUGGGCGCAAGCCUGAUCCAGCCAUGCCGCGUGGAUGAUGAAGGCCCUAGGGUUGUAAAGUCCUUUUAACGGGGAAGAUAAUGACGGUACCCGUAGAAUAAGCCCCGGCUAACUUCGUGCCAGCAGCCGCGGUAAUACGAAGGGGGCUAGCGUUGCUCGGAAUUACUGGGCGUAAAGCGCACGUAGGCGGCUUCUUAAGUCGGAGGUGAAAUCCUGGAGCUCAACUCCAGAACUGCCUUCGAUACUGUAGAGCUUGAGUUCGGGAGAGGUGAGUGGAACUGCGAGUGUAGAGGUGAAAUUCGUAGAUAUUCGCAAGAACACCAGUGGCGAAGGCGGCUCACUGGCCCGAUACUGACGCUGAGGUGCGAAAGCGUGGGGAGCAAACA
rnacentral:rRNA from 1 species